rnacentral:rRNA from 1 species
AGAGUUUGAUCAUGGCUCAGGAUGAACGCUAGCGGCAGGCUUAAUACAUGCAAGUCGAGGGGCAGCGCAGUGUAGCAAUACAUGGGCGGCGACCGGCAAACGGGUGCGGAACACGUACAGAACCUUCCUUCGAGCGGGGAAUAGCCCAGAGAAAUUUGGAUUAAUACCCCAUAGUAUAUUGGAGUGGCAUCACUUUGAUAUUAAAGAUUUAUCACUUGAAGAUGGCUGUGCGUCUGAUUAGGUAGUUGGCGGGGUAACGGCCCACCAAGCCUACGAUCAGUAACUGGUGUGAGAGCACGACCAGUCACACGGGCACUGAGACACGGGCCCGACUCCUACGGGAGGCAGCAGUAAGGAAUAUUGGUCAAUGGACGCAAGUCUGAACCAGCCAUGCCGCGUGGAGGAUGAAGGUCCUCUGGAUUGUAAACUUCUUUUAUCUGGGACGAAAAAAGGGUUUUCUAACUCGUCUGACGGUACCAGAUGAAUAAGCACCGGCUAACUCCGUGCCAGCAGCCGCGGUAAUACGGAGGGUGCAAGCGUUAUCCGGAUUCACUGGGUUUAAAGGGUGCGUAGGCGGGCAUGUAAGUCCGUGGUGAAAUCUCCGAGCUUAACUCGGAAACUGCCAUGGGUACUGUGUGUCUUGAAUGUUGUGGAGGUGAGCGGAAUAUGUCAUGUAGCGGUGAAAUGCUUAGAUAUGACAUAGAACACCAAUUGCGAAGGCAGCUCACUACACAAAUAUUGACGCUGAGGCACGAAAGCGUGGGGAUCAAACAGGAUUAGAUACCCUGGUAGUCCACGCC